GCCACAUGAUGACUUGAAUAGAUGGCAUUAGCACCAUGUGCAAAGAUGACCAGUAUCUAUCACCCAUGUCUGAUGGCC